GUACACACCGCCCGUCACACCAUGAGAGUUUGUAACACCCAAAGCCGGUGGGGUAACCUUUUGGAGCCAGCCGUCUAAGGUGGGACAGAUGAUUAGGGGUGAAGUCGUAACAAGGUAGC
rnacentral:rRNA from 1 species